GUGCUCGCUUCGGCAGCACAUAUACUAAAAUUGGAACGGUACAGAGAUUAGCAUGGCCCUUGUGCAAGGAUGACGUACAAAUCGUGAAACGUUCCAUAUUUUU